rfam:Nitrincola nitratireducens strain AK23 contig000007, whole genome shotgun sequence.
CCGCCCGUGUCACCGGGUGAAUCUACGAGCCUGAAUAAACUAGCGGCUCGGACAAUGUAAUGAAGCGUCUUCGGGCGCGGGGCGAAAAUCGUGAGAGGCACGCCCUUUUGGUAGCCACAAGCUGGAUGAAUGA